GCAUAUCAAUAAGCGGAGGAAAAGAAACCAACAGGGAUUACCUCAGUAACGGCGAGUGAAGCGGUAACAGCUCAAAUUUGAAAUCUGGCCUCACGGUCCGAGUUGUAAUUUGUAGAGGAUGCUUCGAGCAUGGUCUGGCCUAAGUUCCUUGGAACAGGACGUCAUAGAGGGUGAGAAUCCCGUAUGCGGCCAGGUGCCUACGCUCAUGUGAAGCUCCUUCGACGAGUCGAGUUGUUUGGGAAUGCAGCUCAAAAUGGGUGGUAAAUUUCAUCUAAAGCUAAAUAUUGGCCAGAGACCGAUAGCGCACAAGUAGAGUGAUCGAAAGAUGAAAAGCACUUUGGAAAGAGAGUUAAACAGUACGUGAAAUUGUUGAAAGGGAAGCGCUUGCAACCAGACUUGCGCGCGGCCGAUCAUCCGGUGUUCUCACCGGUGCACUCGGCCGUGCUCAGGCCAGCAUCGGUUUUGGCGGCUGGAUAAAGGCCCUAGGAAUGUAGCUCCUCUCGGGGAGUGUUAUAGCCUAGGGUGCAAUGCAGCCUGCUGGGACCGAGGACCGCGCUUCGGCUAGGAUGCUGGCGUAAUGGUUGUAAGCGGCCCGUCUUGAAACACGGACCAAGGAGUCUAACAUCUAUGCGAGUGUUUGGGUGUCAAACCCAUACGCGUAAUGAAAGUGAACGGAGGUGAGAACCCUUAAGGGUGCAUCAUCGACCGGUCCUGAAGUUUACGGAAGGAUCUGAGUAAGAGCAUAGCUGUUGGGACCCGAAAGAUGGUGAACUAUGCCUGAAUAGGGUGAAGCCAGAGGAAACUCUGGUGGAGGCUCGCAGCGGUUCUGACGUGCAAAUCGAUCGUCAAAUUUGGGUAUAGGGGCGAAAGACUAAUCGAACCAUCUAGUAGCUGGGUUCCUGCUGA
rnacentral:rRNA from 1 species